CUUCCCUGCAGCCUGCCUCCUGGCAGGGCCAGCCAAAGCAAGGAGCCCUGUGCAGAGAUAAGGAAGUGAUGACAGCUCACCCCAAAGGAACUGGUCUGCUUAGUUGGGAAAAAAAUAUGGAAUUAUACAAGAAAAAUUACAAAAUUGUUCACACCCCAUGAGCCUACCACUAGGUUCCUGUCCCCACCAACUGGAUGGACAAGAAGAAAAGACUUAUCUGUAUAAAAAUAUGCCUAGCACCUUUUGUAACAAUGGAAAAUUGGAAUCAAACUGUGUGCCCAGUGGUUGGAGAAUGGAGGGACAAGUUAUGGUACGUGAAUGUAAUGGAACAUUACUGUUCCACAAGGAACAUUGAUAGCAAGAAUUCCUAGAAAUGUGGGGAGGCUUGCAUGAAAUGAUGCAGAGAGAAGGAAGUGGAGCCGAAAGAACAAGCCAUGUUGAUUACUAUCAGGUAGAGGAAGAAAACCUCAAAUGGCAACCAAGCCCAAUGGACAGCCUUGGCUCACCCUUCUUAAAGCCGAUGACGUGGCCUUUAAAUCACAAAAGCGUUCAGGAGCAAGCUUGCAAAGUCAUCAUCACUCUUUUGUGUUGCCUUGCUUGAAUGUUUUUUGGGGGGAUAUACUUUGGACUUUGAGAGUUUAUGUUCACUGUGUUAAAAACAAGAUUUGUCCAUUGGAAAAAUGUUUUAUGAUCUUUCAAAGAAAUGUCAUUUUUAUGAUGAGAUGCCAAAAACUGGGACCCAUUUUGCUCAUCUGUAAAAGUGGAUAAAAUGAUAAUAAUAAUGGACUUCUUUACAA